GUGGGGAAUCUUGCGCAAUGGGCGAAAGCCUGACGCAGCCAUGCCGCGUGAAUGAUGAAGGUCUUAGGAUUGUAAAAUUCUUUCACCGGGGACGAUAAUGACGGUACCCGGAGAAGAAGCUCCGGCUCACUUCGUGCCAGCAGCCGCGGUAAUACGAAGGGGGCUAGCGUUGCUCGGCAUUACUGGGCGUAAAGGGCGCGUAGGCGGACAGCUUAGUCAGAGGUGAAAGCCCAGGGCUCAACCUUGGAAUUGCCUUGGAUACUGGCUGUCUUGAGUUUGGGAGAGGUGAGUGGAACUCCGAGUGUAGAGGUGAAAUUCGUAGAUAUUCGGAAGAACACCAGUGGCGAAGGCGACUCACUGGCCCAAUACUGACGCUGAGGCGCGAAAGCGUGGGGAGCAAACAGGAUUAGAUACCCUGGUAGUCC
rnacentral:rRNA from 1 species